rnacentral:lncRNA from 10 species
UGGAGGAAUGUGCCAGAAGCACAUUCCACAUGAGGAGAGGUUUCAUCAUGACAGAACCAGGCACAGCAGUAACAAACCUUGUUGGCAUUUGCUGUGAUUAUCGUGUACCAGCCACAGUGGCAGGCCCUGGAGACACUGUGGAUAAGAAAACAUGUGAUUCCUGCCCCUGUGGACCUUAGAGUGUCCCACAAGGGAGACUGACACGAAACAGAAAUGGA